rnacentral:rRNA from 1 species
CAAUAGCGUAUAUUUAAGUUGCUGCAGUUAAAAAGCUCGUAGUUGGAUUUCGGUUGGGAAUGGCCGGUCCGCCGUUUCGGUGUGCACUUGCUACGCCCACCUUGCUGCCGGGGACGUGCUCUUGAGUUCACGCUCGGGACACGGAGUCGGCGAGGUUACUUUGAGUAAAUUAGAGUGUUCAAAGCAGGCCUACGCUCUGAAUACAUUAGCAUGGAAUAACACGAUAGGACUCUGGCCUAUCUUGUUGGUCUGUAGGACCGGAGUAAUGAUUAAGAGGGACAGUCGGGGGCAUUCGUAUUUCAUUGUCAGAGGUGAAAUUCUUGGAUUUAUGAAAGACGAACUACUGCGAAAGCAUUUGCCAAGGAUGUUUUCAUUAA